UUUGUGUUUGUUACCCUUGCCUGAGACAUAUCUAGAAGAAUGUUGCUAAGGCCAAAGUCAAAGAAAUUACUGCCUAUGUUUUCUGCUAGGAGCUUUAUAGUUUAAUGUCUCACAUAUAGGUUUUGAAUCCAUUCCGAGUUUACUUUUGUGUAUGGUGUAAGAAAGUGGUUGGACUGCAUUCUUAAGAAGAUGCUCAGUCAUAAUCCCUGUUCUUCUCUGAGAGCUAAUGCUGACUAAAUAGAUAAACUGCUAGCCGCAAAAGCAACUUGAUUGUUUGAAGAUAUCCUGUCUCAGGCCCUAGGGCAGCCUUUACCCUAAAACUACAAGUGGGUGCCGACAGAAAAAGCUUUAAGAAAAUCCCGUGCUUUGUAACCAGAUGACUUAGAGAGGGGAGUCCUGUGAGACACAGGUCUUUUGACUCUCCCCCUCCAGAUGAGAGCCAGCAGGUCGCCCCUCCUCUUCAGUGGCAGCAGCAGCACUGGAAGUGGCCCCUGCAGUGUGAAGCUCCUGGGAUUUUCCCCACCCUUUACCAGAACUUUGCUUCUCUCUUUUCCUGGAGAGGAUGUCUCAAGACGCCUGAGGUAUAUACUCCUCCCAGCUCUUACCAGGCCCAAGAUCCCCUCUGGGGGUCAUCCCUCCAAGUUCAUCCUGAGAGUAGAACUGAAAGCAGAGAAGAAAGAGGGACCGUAUUCCCUUUGAACCCAGCCGACAUCUGGAUGUUCCAAGCCUGGCCUGCUGGACUCCCAAGGAUGGGUAAUAUCUGAAUGUGAAUGAAUAGACACUGAGCUCUUAAACAUGACACAGUUCCAAGCACAACACCCAAUGAGGCCAACAAUCUGAAUUCCUUGAGAGGUUAAAGCUGAGGGAAGUUCUCUUUGGAAGAAGACGCACCUGCUCUCCAUUCAUUUUCCCUUUACUUAAAGGGGCGCUCAGAGCAGCACUGCUUGUCCCUCGGUGAAGGCACUGAAGAACAGAGCUUGUUGUGUUGCUGCUAACAAAAUGGGCCUUGUACCUCUUCAAGUCCUCCUGCGCACCGAAGGACCCUUAUACGCGAGUGCCGGAAAGGAACAGAGGUUCAGAAGUUAAUGCAAGUAACAGGUCCCACGUUGCCUUGAAUCAGGUGUCCUGCUUCAGCAGCAGGAAAAUAGGCUCAGACCCUUAAGAUUCUUAGACUUAAGCUGGAACCUGCAUUAUAUUUCCAUGUAACUGAAUAAUUAGUGAUAGUAUAUUAAAAUUAUGAGUAAUAAUGGCUGACUUCCAUUUGGUGCUUAGUAAAUUCUAAAUACAUUGCUAAGUAUUCUACAUAUAAUCUCUCCCUUCAUUUUCACAAGUCCCUAUGAAGUAAUGUUACACUUUACAGAUAGGGAAAAUGAGGUUUAGAGAGGUUACAUGUGUGAGAGACACUAUAACUUUGAGAGAAUCCGUUGGAUGUAGUUGUUCAAGCCAGAAGACUGCCCUUCCAAUACUGGUGCUCCCUGCCACUUUUUAGCUGGGUGACUUUUGGUGAGCUGCUUAACCUCUCUGUGCCUCAGUUUCCUUAUCUGUAAAAACAAAAAUUCCUACUUCAUAAGGAUGUUGUGGGUAUUGAAUGAAUCAAUACAUAUAAAGUGAUUAAUGGUACUUGACAUAUAAUAAGCAUACACCUUUUUAAAAGGAGAGGUUAAGCUCAGGAUGCUUCAGGUCACUUAUAUCGUCUCCUUAAAGACUGUGUUUGUUCUCCUUAUGGAUAUUAUUAGGAAAUGGAUCCUGAUAACAUGUCCUGCCAGGG